GCAGCUACUUUAGAAAACUGUCUGGCAGCUCUUCAAAGGGUUAAACAUAGAGUUCCCAUAGUGACCCAGCAAUUCCACUCCUAGUGUAUACCCAUGAGAAGUGAAAAC